ACAGAGGGUGCGAGCGUUGUCCGGAAUCACUGGGCGUAAAGGGCGCGUAGGUGGCGGCCCAAGUCUGUGGUGAAAGCUCGAUGCUCAACAUCGAGUCGGCCACGGAUACUGGGUUGCUCGAGCACUGUAGGGGCAGAUGGAAUUCCGGGUGUAGCGGUGGAAUGCGUAGAGAUCCGGAAGAACACCGGUGGCGAAGGCGGUCUGCUGGGCAGUUGCUGACACUGAGGCGCGACAGCGUGGGGAGCAAACAGGA
rnacentral:rRNA from 1 species